UUUCUGCUCUCUCCGUCCGAAAAUACUUGUCAUCAAAACGGAUAAAAAGAGAUGUAUCUAAAACUAAAAUACGUCUAGAUACAUUUCCUUUUAUCCAUUUUGAUGACAAGUAUUUCCGGACGGAGGGAGUAUUUG
rfam:Triticum aestivum genome assembly, contig: Triticum_aestivum_CS42_TGACv1_scaffold_082491_1DS